rnacentral:rRNA from 1 species
GUGGGGAAUAUUGCACAAUGGGCGCAAGCCUGAUGCAGCAACGCCGCGUGAGGGAUGACGGCCUUCGGGUUGUAAACCUCUUUUAGUAGGGAAGAAGCGAAAGUGACGGUACCUGCAGAAAAAGCACCGGCUAACUACGUGCCAGCAGCCGCGGUAAUACGUAGGGUGCAAGCGUUGUCCGGAAUUAUUGGGCGUAAAGAGCUCGUAGGCGGCUUGUCGCGUCUGCUGUGAAAUCCCGGGGCUCAACCCCGGGCCUGCAGUGGGUACGGGCAGGCUAGAGUGCGGUAGGGGAGAUUGGAAUUCCUGGUGUAGCGGUGGAAUGCGCAGAUAUCAGGAGGAACACCGAUGGCGAAGGCAGAUCUCUGGGCCGCUACUGACGCUGAGGAGCGAAAGCAUGGGGAGCGAACAGGAUUAGAAACCCCUGUAGUCC